GGGGAUGAGGCGUCUUUGAAUAUCAAUGCGCGCGAGUGUGCGCGUGUGUGACCAUGAAUAUUCCUUUGUGAUUUGAUUGAACCUACACCUUCUAACGUGUUCACCUUUGGAUACAGCCACGGCCGCGCUCCUCUAGCGCGCGCACGGCUCCUGUGCGUAUUGUGUCCAGGCACGUGCGAGCAUGUGCGCCGCGUCUGCCGCCGUGCGCGUGCGUGCUUGCGCGCUGACGCGGAGCCUCCAGACCGAGCGAUGACUCAUCGCGGGCUCUCUGCGAGAUCUCGGAGGUCAGACGCGAAGGAAAACGGGCGGAGAGCGGCUCAGAGCCACCGGGAGGAACGCGCUUAACAAGCGCGUGAAUGCGUCGUCAGGUCGAUGUCAUUGCUUUGAAAUCGCUUCGGUGGGGAAAAUACCGCGUUAGAUAAAAACAGUCUGGAGACAGGGAGAGAAAAGGGUUUAAUGAGGACAGAAAGUUGCUCUUCUUGACCAUAUAAACGACUCUAACUCCAGGGGCUUUAUUGUUCUUUAUUUAGAUUUAUUUAUUUUGGCCUCUAUCAAAAACAGUGACUGUUUCGCUGCCUCUCCCGGAGUUCUGGAAGGAAGUCAGCAGAGGAAAGACAGACGCAGACGGAGCAGCAGACAGGCGCAGUGGAGUUAUCACACGGAUGCCUGUUACAUAAACAAGAUGUCGCUUCCAAGUUUAGCACAAUUACAUGGCGCUAACAGGCCACAGGGAGGAACACAGAUCUGGGGGCAGAUUAGCGAUCAGCACCCACAUCUCUCAGCAUGGGGCAGGAUAUGGAGGCAGUUCCUUUAGACCACAGCUCACUCCCAUCUCAGAGGGAGAAGCUCACUCCUGUCCUCCCCCUCCUCCUCGUCCUACUCACACACCUCAUGCACACUAGGCUGCAGGUACAAGCUGCAGACUGCACCGUAUCAAGUUCACCAGCAAAGUCGUGGGGCCCCGGGUUUUAUCCUUCCCAGGGCUAAAACCAUUGAGUCCCAAAAGAUGCAGAGCUGGAGUGUCGCUGCUGCCGAGAGCAGAUUGCAGGUAAACUGACUCAGUCACUUCUGUUAUGCAUAACUUUAUCUAAAGGAAAUCAUAAACACUACUUAACACCAGAUAUUUAGGAAAGUAAGUAAUCUGUCUAAAGAUACCAGACUUUUAAGGGCAGCUGUAUAUACAGCAGCUGUGUCAUAUGAUUAAUUAUUACUGAUGAUUUACAGUUUCUCUACAUGGAUCAUAAUACCAUUAAAUGUGAUGGAUGAGUUCCACAGAGCAUUCAUACAGCAUGCAGUAAGUGCUGGGAUACAGUAAGUCAUCAUAAUGAGCACCUUUACAGCUGAUCAGUUUGGAAAUAUAACUUUUAGUGCAACCAGGUGCUCAGGAUAAGAUAAGUAAUCAAUAGUGAUUGAGUUAGUGAGACACUGUGCAGUAGAUUAUAGAGUUGUACAGUGGAAGUAGAUGAGCCCACAUCUAACGGAUUUGAUGUAACAAAACAAAUCAAUGAUGGGACUUAUUAACAUAAGAAGCUCACAGGUUAGUUGUUCUGUCUGAACACUGAACCUGUAUCAUUUAUUAAGAUAAAUAAAACAGUCACACAUUAACGGAC
ensembl:lncRNA